rnacentral:ncRNA from 1 species
AAUUCGCCUCCAUGAAGUUGGAAUCGCUAGUAAUCGCAGGUCAGCUACACUGCGGUGAAUACGUUCUCGGGUCUUGCACACACCGCCCGUCACGUCAGCAAAGCUGGGAUCACCUGAAGUCCUACUUUUUGUGGGCCCAUGGUGGAAUCAGUGAUGAGGAUGAAGUCGUAACAAGGUAGCCUUAGGGGAAUCUGAGGCUGGAUCACCUCCUUU